rnacentral:rRNA from 1 species
AACGAACGCUGGCGGCAGGCUUAACACAUGCAAGUCGAGCGCCCCGAAAGGGGAGCGGCAGACGGGUGAGUAACGCGUGGGAAUGUGCCCUUUGGUCUGGAAUAACUCAGUGAAACUUGAGCUAAUAUCGGAUAAGCCCUUCGGGGGAAAGAUUUAUUGCCAUUGGAGCAGCCCGCGUCAGAUUAGCUAGUUGGUGAGGUAAAAGCUCACCAAGGCGAUGAUCUGUAGCUGGUCUGAGAGGACGACCAGCCACACUGGGACUGAGACACGGCCCAGACUCCUACGGGAGGCAGCAGUGGGGAAUAUUGGACAAUGGGGGCAACCCUGAUCCAGCCAUGCCGCGUGAGUGAUGAAGGCCUUAGGGUUGUAAAGCAAGGGUACUCGGGAAGAUAAUGACUGUACCGAGAGAAUAAGCCCCGGCUAACUUCGUGCCAGCAGCCGCCGUAA